rnacentral:lncRNA from 1 species
CACCAUGCUUCCUGGGCUCACUUCUCAGACAUUAAUACCUCCCAAGUCCUCCCUCAGUGCCCUGUGCUUGGGUGAAGCUGAAUGAAGACACGGAAGUCGGCAUUUAAUUCCCCUCACAUCAGGAGGAGACAGUUGAACGGAAACAAAUGUGAAUUUUCAAGGUACUCCACAGUUAUUUUUGGAACGGCAUUAACUCCAUCAGUCUGCAGCAUACAAACUGAUGUACCAUAUCAAUAUUGUAUUUUAAGACAUCAGCCCCGCUAUUGCGCAAGACCUAGGGCUGCUGAGCAGUGAGGCUUCAUUGCCAUCGCUGGAAUUCUCGCUUUCUAUGUCACAUCCUCAUAAAUCAUCCGCAGCAAGUUACAUCUGUCAAGGCAAUUGGGGGCCUUUCACAAUGCUGUAACAUAGACUUCAUUAUGGAGACUUGCUUUGCUGCUAGUUUAAAUUUUCAAUAAUGUAGCCACAUGCCUGCCAUUCAGUGGAGGCCACAGACCCAUUAUCCAAGGGCUUAUAGUCCAC